rnacentral:rRNA from 1 species
GGUUACGUCAAGACUCACGGUUAUUAACCGUAGGCUUUUCUUCUCUACUGAAAGUGCUUUACAACCCGCAGGCCUUCUUCACACACGCGGCAUUGCUGGAUCAGGCUUGCGCCCAUUGUCCAAUUAUUCCCCC